GAUGGCGACCGGCGCACGGGUGAGUAACGCGUAUCCAACCUUCCCUAUAGUAGAGAAUAGCCCGGCGAAAGUCGGAUUAAUGCUCUAUAUGUUCUAUUGAUGGCAUCAGAGAUUGAACAAAGAAUUUCGCUAUAGGAUGGGGAUGCGUCUGAUUAGCUUGUUGGCGGGGUAACGGCCCACCAAGGCAACGAUCAGUAGGGGUUCUGAGAGGAAGGUCCCCCACAUUGGUACUGAGACACGGACCAAACUCCUACGGGAGGCAGCAGUGAGGAAUAUUGGUCAAUGGGCGCAAGCCUGAACCAGCCAAGUAGCGUGCAGGACGACUGCCCUAUGGGUUGUAAACUGCUUUUAUAGGGGAAUAAAGUGAGGUAUGUAUACCUU
rnacentral:rRNA from 1 species